rnacentral:lncRNA from 1 species
CAGUAGGUUGACUGGCAGGUUGGGGUAACUUGGAGCAGCAGGUUGACUGGGUAACUUGGAGCAGCAGGUUGACUGGCAGGUUGGGGUAACUUGGAGCAGCAGGUUGACUGGGUAACUUGGAGCAGCAGGUUGACUGGGUAACUUGGAGCAGUAGGUUGACUGGCAGGUUGGGGUAACUUGGAGCAGCAGGUUGACUGGAAAACUUGGAGCAGUAGGUUGACUGGGUAACUUGGAGCAGUAGGUUGACUGGCAGGUUGGGGUAACUUGGAGCAGCAGGUUGACUGGGUAACUUGGAGCAGUAGGUUGACUGGGUUGGUUGGGGUAACUUGGAGCAGUAGGUUGACUGGUUGGUUGGGGUAACUUGGAGUAGCAGGUUGACUGGGUAACUUGGAGCAGCUGGUUGACUGGGUAACUUGGAGCAGUAGGUUGACUGGGUAACUUGGAGCAGCAGGUUGACAGGGUUGGUUGGGGUAACUUGGAGCAGUAGGUUGACUGGGUAACUUGGAGCAGCAGGUUGACUGGGUUGGUUGGGGUAACUUGGAGCAGUAGGUUGACUGGGUAACUUGGAGCAGCAGGUUGACUGGUAAACUUGGAGCAGCAGGUUGACUGGGUUGGUUGGGGUAACUUGGAGCAGUAGGUUGACUGGCAGGUUGGGGUAACUUGGAGCAGCAGGUUGACUGGGUAAUUUGGAGCAGUAGGUUGACUGGGUUGGUUGGGGUAACUUGGAGCAGCAGGUUUACUUGGUAACUUGGAGCAGUAGGUUGACUGGGAUGGUUGGGGUAACUUGGAGCAGCAGGUUGACUGGGUUGGUUGGGGUAACUUGGAGCAGCAGGUUGACUGGGUAAUUUGGAGCAGUAGGUUGACUGGGUUGGUUGGGGUAACUUGGAGCAGCAGGUUUACUGGGUAACUUGGAGCAGUAGGUUGACUGGGAUGGUUGGGGUAACUUGGAGCAGCAGGUUGACUGGGUUGGUUGGGGUAACUUGGAGCAGCAGGUUGACUGGGUAACUUGGAGCAGUAGGUUGACUGGGUUGGUUUAGGUAACAUGAAGCAGCAGGUUGACUGGGUUGGUUUAGGUAACAUGAAGCAGCAGGUUGACUGGGUUGACUGAGGUAACUUGAAGCAGCAGGUUGACUGGGUUAACUGGAAUAACUUGAAGCAGCAGGUUGACUGAGGUAACUUGAACUGGGUUAACUGGGGUAACUUGAAGCAGCCGGUUAACUGGGGUAACUUGAAGCAGCCGGUUAACUGGGGUAACUUGAAGCAGCCGGUUGACUGAGGUAACUUGAAGCAGCAGGUUGACUGAGGUAACUUGAACUGGGUUAACUGGGGUAAUUUGAAGCAGCAGGUUGACUGGGUUAACUGGGGUAACUUGAAGCAGCCAGUUGACUGAGGUAACUUGAAGCAGCCGGUUGACUGAGGUAACUUGAAGCAGCAGGUUGAAUGCGUUGACUAGGGUUCAGUAAAUCACGUACAGACAUGCAUAAUAUUAAAACAAUCCUUCAAAUACAUUUAAAAUCCUGUCAGAACUUGCCACAGACAACCAUAGAGAUGUUGCUUUGUAUUUGCAUGUACGUCAUGAUCGUAAACCAAAGGGGGUGCCUGUUGAUCCCCGGUGUGGCAGCAGAGCUGUCAGGUUUGGCUACCUGCUUCUUAUAGCAACACUUCUUCACACAACAACAACAUACAGCCACCACAGCAGAGAAUAAGCAGAAAACACUAAUAUAAACUCAUACAGGCAUAGGUGUGAGAGGAAAUGAG